rnacentral:rRNA from 1 species
AAUUGAAGGGUUUGAUCCUGGCUCAGAAUGAACGUUGGCGGCGUGGAUUAGGCAUGCAAGUCGCGCGGGAUCUUGUUGAUUGAAACUUCGGUUGAUUGAUUCAAGUGAGAGCGGCGUAAGGGAGAGUAACGCGUGGAUAUCUGCCCCUGGAUCCGGGAUAGCUGAGGGAAACUUCAGGUAAUACCGGAUAAUGUCCCAGGACCAAAGGUGUGAUUCCGUCUAGGGAUGAGUCCGCGUCCUAUUAGCUUGUUGGUGGGGUAAUGGCCUACCAAGGCAAAGAUGGGUACCGGGUGUGAGAGCAUGGCCCGGCUCACUGGGACUGAGACACUGCCCAGACACCUACGGGUGGCUGCAGUCGAGAAUCUUCCGCAAUGGGCGCAAGCCUGACGGAGCGACGCCGCGUGCGGGAUGAAGGCCUUCGGGUUGUAAACCGCUGUCAGUGGGGAGGAAAUCUAUAGGGGUCAUCCCCUAUAGUUGACCUAUCUUCAGAGGAAGGACGGGCUAAGUUCGUGCCAGCAGCCGCGGUAAGACGAACCGUCCAAACGUUAUUCGGAAUCACUGGGCUUAAAGGGUGCGUAGGCGGCUUGGAAAGUUGGGUGUGAAAUCCCGGGGCUCAACCUCGGAACUGCCUCCAAAACUCCUGGUCUUGAGUUCGAGAGAGGUGAGUGG